UGGGGAAUAUUGGACAAUGGGCGAAAGCCUGAUCCAGCCAUGCCGCGUGUGUGAAGAAGGUCUUCGGAUUGUAAAGCACUUUAAGUUGGGAGGAAGGGCAGUAAGCGAAUACCUUGCUGUUUUGACGUUACCGACAGAAUAAGCACCGGCUAACUCUGUGCCAGCAGCCGCGGUAAUACAGAGGGUGCAAGCGUUAAUCGGAAUUACUGGGCGUAAAGCGCGCGUAGGUGGUUCGUUAAGUUGAAUGUGAAAGCCCCGGGCUCAACCUGGGAAAUGCAUCCACAACUGUCGAGCUAGAGUAGGGCAGAGGGUGGUGGAAUUUCCUGUGUAGCGGUGAAAUGCGUAGAUAUAGGACGGAACACCAGUGGCGAAGGCGACCACCUGGGCUCAUACUGACACUGAGGUGCGAAAGCGUGGGGAGCAAACAGG
rnacentral:rRNA from 1 species